GACGAACGCUGGCGGCGCGCCUAACACAUGCAAGUCGAACGAGCGAGAGAGAGCUUGCUUUCUCGAGCGAGUGGCGGACGGGUGAGUAACGCGUGAGGAACCUGCCUCAAAGAGGGGGACAACAGUUGGAAACGACUGCUAAUACCGCAUAAGCCCACGGCCCGGCCUCGAGCAGGGGGAAAAGGAGCAAACCGCCUUGAGAUGGCCCCGCGUCCGAUUAGCUAGUUGGUGGGGUAACGGCCCACCAAGGCGACGAUCGGUAGCCGGACUGAGAGGUUGAACGGCCACAUUGGGACUGAGACACGGCCCAGACUCCUACGGGAGGCAGCAGUGGGGAAUAUUGCACAAUGGGGGAAACCCUGAUGCAGCGACGCCGCGUGGAGGAAGAAGGUCUUCGGAUUGUAAACUCCUGUUGUUGGGGAAGAUAAUGACGGUACCCAACAAGGAAGUGACGGCUAACUACGUG
rnacentral:rRNA from 1 species